ACAUGCUCUCACCACCCAUAUCCACUCUCUCUCUCUUCAACCUUCAAAAAUCUAAUCACAAAUUACACAUUCCACACCACCACCAACAACCCACAUAGCAUAUAAACACAUCUGUCUGAACGGUAGAGUGGGCCAUGGCUUCUUCAGACAGCACGAACAUGGAGCUAUCGCCUAAAUCGAAUAAUGCCGGUGUUUCAUCAUCAUUGACAACAUCAGCGUCUGGUGGUGGAGGAUCGAACUCUGCGACUUCCUCGCCAAAGGGUGUAGGAAUGUGUCUGUGCUCCCCCACCAAGCACGAGGGCUCGUUUCGGUGCCGAUUGCAUCGCACCCUUUCUUCAACAUGGAUGAGGAGGAGCAACUGCAUGCCUGCUAAUAAAUCUCCGCAACCAGAAAAUCAUUAAACCAUUUGCAAAAUCUGAUAUUUGACAGGGGCCUCUUCCUUAGAGGUGAAUAUGUUCGUGACUCUAAGAUGACAAAUUGAAAAUCUGUCUCUCUCUCUUACAAAUCCAUACGUGCAUAUGAAUGUUAAUCUUGAUGUUGUUGUUUGGGUAAUAGAGAGCCUCUAUCCGUUUUUUAAAUGGUUAGUGGUUUUGGAUUUGUUAUUGGAGAAUGAAAUCUUAAACCUUCGCUGA